rnacentral:rRNA from 1 species
CGCAAGCCUGACGGAGCAACGCCGCGUGAGGGAGGAAGGCCUGUGGGUUGUAAACCUCUUUUCUCAGGGAAGAAGUUCUGACGGUACCUGAGGAAUCAGCCUCGGCUAACUCCGUGCCAGCAGCCGCGGUAAUACGGAGGAGGCAAGCGUUAUCCGGAAUUAUUGGGCGUAAAGCGUCCGCAGGGGGCGCAUCAAGUCUGCUGUCAAAGGUCGGAGCUUAACUCCGGUUCGGCAGUGGAAACUGGUGCGCUAGAGGGCGACAGGGGUAGAGGGAAUUCCCAGUGUAGCGGUGAAAUGCGUAGAGAUUGGGAAGAACACCGGUGGCGAAAGCGCUCUACUGGGUCGCACCUGACACUGAGGGACGAAAGCUAGGGGAGCG